UUCAGUCAUGUUGACCAUGAUGAAUAAUUUCAUUUUUGAUUAAAGAAAACUUGCUUGAGUGGCGUGCUUUCAGUGGGAUUUGUAAGUUGAUUGGAACCCGGUGCACCGUCAGUUCGGUCUCGGUUACGUCGCCGUCGGUUUUAUCUCGUCAUCAUCGCCGUCGCGUUUGAACAACGGAAUGUGGAACCGUCGAUACGAUUCCAGCGUAUUCCCACUUUUUCAGAAACGAAGCAACUACAAUCUUAAAGCAGCAGCGGGUUACCCACGACUGCACAAGCUUACAAAAAUAUAUCCCUGGAGAUAACCAACUCGAUCGAUGAAGGAGGCCAGCUACACCAUGUAGAACAUGCAGAUCCAUCGAUAGGCAUAAAGAACACGAAGCAGUACCAAAUCAUUGCCGAUGGAAAAAAGCGGAACACGAACCGGAAUUAAAAUAUGUUGAACAAGAAAUUGAUUUGGAUUUCAGUGCCACUUCACAGCGGAAACCAAGAAGGGCUCGUAACCUUGCAUGACGGAAAUCGUUCGUCAACUGGCUGUUUGCAAAGUACAGCAACAUGUCACCGACGAAUAUCAAACUUGUAUGAAGAAAUGCUGCUGCUUUCCAAACCGCUAAACCAGGGAAUUGGUUUAUAGACAUCGACUAUAUGGAGUUUUAGGUUUAACCACAUAAUAAGAAGUGCCAUCUGGUGACAGGGUCUAAUACUGUCCAUACGGCCGUCUAAGGGGAUCAAGCCGCAAUCAAGAACCGUCUAAUACCACUUUUCAAGAGCGUAUUCUACGGACGAG